rfam:Mouse DNA sequence from clone RP24-470M12 on chromosome 12
CCACACAGCAUUGUAUCCAGAGUCUGUCCCCAGACAUUGCACCUGGGGUGCUACGCUCUCUGGUCGAGUCAACU